rnacentral:tRNA from 1 species
AGCUCAGUCAGUUAGAGCACGGUGCUGGUAACACCAAGGUCGUGGGUUCGAUCCCCGU